rnacentral:rRNA from 1 species
UACGGGGGGGGGCAAGCGUUGUUCGGAAUUACUGGGCGUAAAGGGCCAGUAGGCGGCCAACUAAGUCGGAUGUGAAAUCCCCAGGCUUAACCUGGGAACUGCAUCCGAUACUGGAUGGCUUGAAUCCGGGAGAGGGAUGUGGAAUUCCAGGUGUAGCGGUGAAAUGCGUAGAUAUCUGGAGGAACACCGGUGGCGGAAGGCGACAUCCUGGACCGGUAUUGACGCUGAGGCGCGAAAGCCAGGGGGAGCAAACGGG